AUUUGGGCAGGGUGAGAGGGCUCGAGUAGGAAAGGGCUACCCGUGGAUGGAGUCGAGAACUCAUCACGGCGUGGAGCCACCACUGAGUUAAACCUCACAUGCAUUAUGCUAGGGUUCGAUCUGGGUUAUGUCGGGCCUUGACGAGGACGUCAAGCUAAUUGAGUUGGGGAUACUGUAACAUCCCAUUAGUCCCACAUCGGAAGUGGGCAAUGUGCAUGAUUAGCUUAUAUGGGCCUGAUGAGUGUACUACGUUAACUCCCGCUUAAGCAUUUUGGUCCGUGGUUGAAGGACCAAAAUGGAGUUAUUGGCCAGUUGGCUCAUCAGACUCGGGUCGUGACAGAGGGGCACGGCUCAGGCGGGCAGGCCACGCAGAGGUGGACUCGGGCAGACUGCGGUCGAGGGGCACGGCUCAGGCGAGCAAACUGCGCAGAGGUGGACUCGGGCAGACUGCGGUCGAGGGGCACGGCUCAGGCGAGCAAACUGCGCAGAGGUGGACUCGGGCAGACUACGACCGAGGGGUGCAGCUCAGGCGGGCAGGUCGUUGAGUCACUGGUUAACGAAGCGCAGCUGGGCUCGCAGGGACCCCGUUGAAUCUGAAGAUAACACCUCGGGCUCCGGGCGGGCUCUCAGGUUUCUCAUUGCUCGAUCCUUGAGCGGGGCCGAUCGGACCCGAAGCGACGCGGGGAGCUCCGGAGAUAUCGUGUGAGCCCGAACGGGCGACUCUUGUUGUCGUAGUGGUAGGAUCGUUGGUGGGUGCGCCGGAUGAGAAAUGAGCGGGAUAAUGGUCUGCACCAUCCCAGUCAGAGCUCGGACUUAAUGAGCGAGGUAUUGAAAGGCCUCGGGCGACGGGUCGGUUGGGGCGCCUUCGGGCGGCGACAAGCCCGAGUCGUUGAAUAACCGCCAAUAGCGCUCUGAGGUUGCAGCGGGGUGCUCAGUUCGAGGUUCACCAUGCGGGGGGCGUUCCCCUGGAGCCCCGAUCAGGUGCGACCCCUCAGCUGUGGGUUCGUCUGGGUCAAUCUAUCGAUCCCUCGACAUUCGGGCCCCCCUUCUAGCGCUAAACUGUUAGUGUCAACAUCUUUACGCCGUGGCCUCGGGGCCAAUACGGUUGGGUUCGGGUCCGAAAGAUUGGAGAUCUUCCUGAACGACCCUUGAGACUGUUGAGGUAGCCGACCGUAGUGGUCCGAUCGCGACGGGGUCACUGUUUUCUCCAGGAGGGGACCCCUCGCCUGGGCCUUCGGUGGGAGGCACUCUGUCUUCGUCCUUGCACACAAGUCGGGUCGAGAGAGCUCGACCCGACCCCUCCGACGAUCAAGUCAGUCGAUAGUCUCAGGGGGUUUUUCUUUUUUUUUCUCCCUCCCUCUUCGUUCCGAUCGCGAGGGUUUUUAUAGGGAAGGUCACCGUUUCCUGAUGUGCCUACUUGUAGGGAGCAAGGUCGUACCUUGGAUAAUGUUUGACACCGGCAUUGGCGUUGCAUGAAGGACCGGGCUCCUGCAGGAUGGUGACGUGCCUCGGUCGGCAUUUUGGUCUGCUUCGGCCAGGCGCUGUCAUGUCAGACCCCGCAACUCCUCGGUCUGUGUGACCUAGGAGACGUCACCCGGGAGCAGAUGACGUUAGUUCGUGUCCCAUCAUUAUUAUUACCCUCAUCAGAGGGCACCUUAAAUCUGACUAUCUUCCUAUUUGGACUCAUUUAAACCCAAUUAAAGUGUGUAUUGGUUAGAAACCUGAUACUAAAAAAAAAUCUAACCUGCUACUGACAGUUAAUAGGGUAAUAGGAUUGCAUACAGUAGCAUGCUAGAGUUCUUUAAACUUUUUUCCGUAGAAACGAAAGCUGCUGACAGUUAAUUUCUUCGUGUAAGAAAAGAUGGGGAGCCUGUGGGAAUGAGCCGAAAUUACAAAUUUACUGAACAUUUUAGCAAGCUCAAACUUUUAUUAGAAGGCAUUUUGCUAAAUCAAUGUGUUUUUUUGUUUGUGUAGGAUAAUUUCUUUGCCCCUUGUAUUGUUUUCUAUUAUAUUUGUCGGGACAUAAAGAUGCUAAUAACUUGACUAAAAAUAGAAUUAUGUUCAUGUUUUUAAUUUGGGACUUGCAUAUUAGUUAAAGAUGGGUUUGAAAAGUAUUGAGCUCAAGUCAUUCUAGUAAAGUUUUACGACUACUAUUUGAAAUUUUUCGUAAAAUAUAGAUCAACUCGAGGUUGACAUGUUGGUAUUUAGUGCAUGAAUUUAGAAUAAGCUACAAUGUGGUCGAUCUGAAGGUUGCUCUGAUUGUCAUUGAGUUGAAUAUUGCUAUAACUAUUCUAUUUUGCAUUUCUUCUUCUCCAAUGCUUGUUUUUUUCUACAUUCCAGAUCUCUUGCACAUUCAUGAACUUGGUCAGUCAUCUCUUUUAGAAAUUCCUAGUGACGAAUGAAACUUCAUAUUCUCUUACAAACAUGAAAUGAGUAAAGCUAAAUAUUUUCUAUAGUUUGUGCUACUCAGCCCUUCAGUUGAAUCAAAAUUUGAUGACUUAUUCAGUGCCCAGAUUUUUUUCAAACUGGUAGACCUUUGUUGAAUCCAAUUUUAUUUUAUUCAGUGACCAAGUUCCUCUGCACGUACAUGACCUUUUUGUACUUGCUAUUUGAAUGUCUGGCUCGCUAGCCCACCUGCUUCCUGCCGUAUUGCAUAUGUGGAUAUCACAUGAUCCCUCAAGUCCUACAUGUUAACUAUGGCUUAUGAAAUUCAAUGGGCAUAUUGUCAAGUUCGUUCUAGUAUGAUAGGUAGGAUUCACAUUUUUCUUCUAUAUCACUUGAAUGGAUGAGCUUGACUUCUGAAGCAUAUAAUGUCUGUCUAACCUACUGUAAAGACAUCCAGUACCAUUAAGCUAUUGAAAGUCAUGAAUUUCACUUUAAAUAUGUGAUUUUUGGUUCUUUUAUUAGUCACUGUUUGCUUACCUAUACAUUCUUCCAGAUUGUGUUGCAUAUAUGGAGGAUAACAUGUUCAUUUAAACCUUAUGUAUUAAUUUACCUAAAAAUGCACUCGAAAUAUUGAUUUCAGGCGAACUACUAGCAAGUUCCAAAUCUGCCUUUGUUUUUGACUUUUUAGCUUUACACUUGCAUUCCUGUGGGCUUUGUGCUAGUGAAAGGAGUAUCUCAUCAUUAUGAAGCAAUCUGACUUGUCGAGACAAAUCAUAUAAUAUAAGAAAUGUAUCCAUGUUUUGAGUUUUUCAAGAGACGAAUCCUUUUGCCUAGUACUUUAGUAUUCAUAUUGUUGUUGGGCAUUACACUGGCCAGUUUUUGGCCUGUUCUUGCGUUGCGCGGUGACCGUCGAGAGCGGAGCAAAACGUCAGCCAUCUCAGCACCCUGGAACCCCCCGGGUGGCACAGGGCUGGAUGGGGCUUUCGUAUAGCAGGGACGGUGCUGCCUCUCGCUUCGCUCGCUGUUCGCCGCUCGCCGCUCGCUCGCGCAGCCAAAAAUGGCCAGUUUUGGCCCGUUUUUGGGCUGUUUUGUUUUUCAGUUUGAUCCUGA
rnacentral:lncRNA from 1 species